UUUAAAUGUUGACCAAUUGAUUAGUUGAAAGAACAGAUGACUCUCAGUCUACCAAGAUUAUAUAUUUUUUCUGGGACAGCCUACUUAGUAGAGAGACUAACAUGGGAAUUAAUUUCUGCAUGUUACCCACAAGCCCGCAGUGCUGAGUCAUUGUCUGGUGUGGCUAACGGACACAGCUGUUGAGCUGCUCACUGAUAAGUACUACUUGCGACAGAGGAUAGGCUAAACAACAGGUUUUCACAAAAGACUGGUGCUUGAAAACACCCAAUACAGCAUCGUAACACUUGUCUACAGACCACACGGAUUAAAAGAUUGCAUGACAGAGAUACUCACCAGUGUUGUCAACUGUAGCAUGGAGAAUCAGAAAGGCACAGGAACCUGACCAACAACGAGUGGGGGUAUUUCUCCAAGUGAUCCAUAUAUGCCAUCAGGUUGGAAAGAAGAAACUUCACCUCCCGCUUAUUCUGUGUCUUUAGGAAGAACCUCUUGUCAUUCCUUAAGGAGUAGGCCUCACGUGAGGAAGAAGUCAGCCUUGCUCUUGGAGUUGCUCAUGAACUGUAGAUAGCAGCAGUCUGAAGAGAGG